ensembl:misc_RNA 7SK 7SK RNA
UAAUGCAGCGGUGAUCUGGGUAUGACAUCUGCCUCUCCUGUGAUGGCCAAUGGUUAAUUCUAGCUGAUCUGGCUAGCUGAACAGGUAUCCUCAUCCUCCCUUAUGUUUCACGGAUAUUGUCACUGAAGAUACAUAUUCAGUGGAAGGACACAACUUUCCUAUCAGAGGACAAUUCUUUGGUUAAGAAUGUAUAACUAACUGCUCUCCUUUAUCAAACAUUCAAACAUAUUCUAAAAGUUUAGAGAAUGUUGUCUCAGAUGUAUAUACUCAAUCAAGCUCUCUCUGCAUCAAUGGAAGUACAAG